UACAGAGGUCUCAAGCGUUGUUCGGAUUCAUUGGGCGUAAAGGGUGCGUAGGCGGCGCGGUAAGUCGGGGUGUGAAAAUUCUCGGAGCUUAACUCCGAAAACUGCAUUUUCGAUACUGCCGUGCUUUUGAGGGGACUGGGAGAGGGAGACUGAAAAUUUUACGGGGUGUAGCGGGUGAAAUGCGUAGAUAUCGUAAAGGGAAAGACCCAGUGGGCGAAAGGGCGGGUCUCUGGGACAGUUUCCCUGACGGCUGAGGGCAACGAAAGGGCCCAGGGAGCAAACGGG
rnacentral:rRNA from 1 species